GGACGAACGCUGGCGGCGUGCUUAACACAUGCAAGUCGAACGAUGAAGCCUAGCUUGCUAGGUGGAUUAGUGGCGAACGGGUGAGUAAUACGUGAGUAACCUACCUUUAACUCUGGGAUAAGCCCGGGAAACUGGGUCUAAUACCGGAUACGACCAAUCUCCGCAUGGGGUGUUGGUGGAAAGCGUUAUGUAGUGGUUAUAGAUGGGCUCACGGCCUAUCAGCUUGUUGGUGAGGUAACGGCUCACCAAGGCGACGACGGGUAGCCGGCCUGAGAGGGUGACCGGCCACACUGGGACUGAGACACGGCCCAGACUCCUACGGGAGGCAGCAGUGGGGAAUAUUGCACAAUGGGCGCAAGCCUGAUGCAGCGACGCCGCGUGAGGGAUGACGGCCUUCGGGUUGUAAACCUCUGUUAGCAGGGAAGAAGAGAGAUUGACGGUACCUGCAGAGAAAGCGCCGGCUAACUACGUG
rnacentral:rRNA from 1 species